rnacentral:rRNA from 1 species
UGGGGAAUAUUCCACAAUGGAGGGAACUCUGAUGCAGCGACGCCGCGUGAACGAAGAAGGCUUUCGAGUCGUAAAGUUCUUUUAUAUGGGAAGAUAAUGACGGUACCAUAAGAAAAAGCCCCGGCUAACUACGUGCCAGCAGCCGCGGUAAUACGUAGGGGGCUAGCGUUGUCCGGAAUCACUGGGCGUAAAGGGUUCGCAGGCGGAAAUGCAAGUCAGGUGUAAAAGGCAGUAGCUUAACUACUGUAAGCAUUUGAAACUGCAUAUCUUGAGAAGAGUAGAGGUAAGUGGAAUUUUUAGUGUAGCGGUGAAAUGCGUAGAUAUUAAAAAGAAUACCGGUGGCGAAGGCGACUUACUGGGCUCAUUCUGACGCUGAGGAACGAAAGCGUGGGUAGCAAACAGG